AGAUCAUCACUUUGCCUUAUGUUCUGGUAUUUCUCCUAUGCUUGACUGCUGGAUGCAGCAUCUGCUGGUUCAACACAGUGUGCUAUGUUCUAUGCAUAAAAAACUUUUCAACAAACAGAGCAUUAGCAUUAUCCCUCACCAUCAGUUUCAAUGGAGUUAGUGCUGCCAUCUAUACCCUCAUUGCAAAUGCAAUAAACCCUCAAAAUGAUACUCUGUACCUCCUCUUAAAUGCAGCUGUCCCUCUUCUUGUGUCUGUUCUGGCACUGGUCCCUAUCCUACGCCAACCACCUUUGCAGCACCUUUCCACUGAUGCGACGAGCUGUGACUCCUCCAUUUUUCUUGUC
rnacentral:misc_RNA from 1 species